rnacentral:rRNA from 1 species
ACGGAGGGUGCAAGCGUUAUCCGGAUUUACUGGGUUUAAAGGGUGCGUAGGUGGGCAGGUAAGUCAGUGGUGAAAUCUCCGGGCUUAACCCGGAAACUGCCAUUGAUACUAUCUGUCUUGAAUAUCCUGGAGGUGAGCGGAAUAUGUCAUGUAGCGGUGAAAUGCUUAGAUAUGACAUAGAACACCAAUUGCGAAGGCAGCUCACUACGGGAUUAUUGACACUGAGGCACGAAAGCGUGGGGAUCAAACAGGAUUAGAUACCCUGGUAGUCCACGCCCUAAACGAUGGAUACUCGACAUCAGCGAUACACUGUUGGUGUCUGAGCGAAAGCAUUAAGUAUCCCACCUGGGAAGUACGAUCGCAAGAUUG